GACGAACGCUGGCGGCGUGCCUAAUACAUGCAAGUCGUGCGGACUUAUCUUCGGAUAAGUUAGCGGCGGACGGGUGAGUAACACGUGGGCAACCUGCCUGUAAGACUGGGAUAACUCCGGGAAACCGGUGCUAAUACCAGAUACAAUCAAAGACCGCCUGGUCUUUGAUGGAAAGGUCUUGUACCGCUUACAGAUGGGCCCGCGGCGCAUUAGCUAGUUGGUGGGGUAAUGGCCUACCAAGGCGACGAUGCGUAGCCGACCUGAGAGGGUGAUCGGCCACACUGGGACUGAGACACGGCCCAGACUCCUACGGGAGGCAGCAGUAGGGAAUCUUCCGCAAUGGACGAAAGUCUGACGGAGCAACGCCGCGUGAGUGAUGAAGGCUUUCGGGUCGUAAAACUCUGUUGUCAGGGAAGAACAUCCGGGAUAACCUCCCGGUCUGACGGUACCUGAUCAGAAAGCCCCGGCUAACUACGUGCCAGCAGCCGCGGUAAUACGUAGGGGGCAAGCGUUGUCCGGAAUUAUUGGGCGUAAAGCGCGCGCAGGCGGUUUCUUAAGUCUGGUGUGAAAGCCCGCAGCUCAACUGCGGAGGGCCACUGGAAACUGGGAAGCUUGAGUGUAGGAGAGGAGAGCGGAAUUCCACGUGUAGCGGUGAAAUGCGUAGAUAUGUGGAGGAACACCCGUGGCGAAAGCGGCUCUCUGGCCUAUAACUGACGCUGAGGCGCGAAAGCGUGGGGAGCGAACAGGAUUAGAUACCCUGGUAGUCCACGCCGUAAACGAUGAGUGCUAGGUGUUGGGGACUCCAAUCUUCAGUGCCGCAGCUAACGCAAUAAGCACUCCGCCUGGGGAGUACGCCCGCAAGGUC
rnacentral:rRNA from 1 species